UACGUAGGGUGCGAGCGUUAAUCGGAAUUACUGGGCGUAAAGCGUGCGCAGGCGGUGAGCUGUGUCCGAUGUGAAAGCCCCGGGCUUAGCCUGGGAAUGGCAUUGGAAACUGGCUCGCUGGAGUGUGGCAGAGGGGGGUGGAAUUCCGCGUGUAGCAGUGAAAUGCGUAGAGAUGCGGAGGAACACCGAUGGCGAAGGCAGCCCCCUGGGCUAACACUGACGCUCAGGCACGAAAGCGUGGGGAGCAAACAGG
rnacentral:rRNA from 1 species